rnacentral:rRNA from 1 species
AACGCGAAGAACCUUACCUACUCUUGACAUCCACGGAACUUAGCAGAGAUGCUUUGGUGCCUUCGGGAACCGUGAGACAGGUGCUGCAUGGCUGUCGUCAGCUCGUGUUGUGAAAUGUUGGGUUAAGUCCCGCAACGAGCGCAACCCUUAUCCUUUGUUGCCAGCGGUUAGGCCGGGAACUCAAAGGAGACUGCCAGUGAUAAACUGGAGGAAGGUGGGGAUGACGUCAAGUCAUCAUGGCCCUUACGAGUAGGGCUACACACGUGCUACAAUGGCAUAUACAAAGAGAAGCGACCUCGCGAGAGCAAGCGGACCUCAUAAAGUAUGUCGUAGUCCGGAUUGGAGUCUGCAACUCGACUCCAUGAAGUCGGAAUCGCUAGUAAUCGUAGAUCAGAAUGCUACGGUGAAUACGUUCCCGGGCCUUGUACACACCG